rnacentral:snRNA from 2 species
AGAUGUAAGGGCAAUCUGGAUUUAACAUCUGUCAUCCCAUUGAUGACCAGGGUUGAUUGGGCAGACCUGGCUGGCUAGAUAGGUGUCCCUCUCCCAUUCCUUGGGCAUCCCUCCCAAAGCUGCACACCCAGUCACAGAGGACAACCUGCAAUAGCUGAGGACCCUUCUUCAAUCAAGGGUAUAUGAGUAACUGUGUUAGAACCUCCAGACAAGCUCUCAAGAAUGCUUGUUUUUAUAUCAUUUGUAAUAGUGAAAGGACAGUAAAAAGGUAAAUAUUCAUCAAUAGCAUUACAGCAUAU